ACUGACUGUCUUUUUGGACUCAGCCCACUUGCAUCCGAGUGAAUAAACAGCCUUGCUGCUUACACAAAGCCUGUUUAGGUGGUCUUCUAUAUGGACACGCAUGACAAUAUUUACAACAAAUACCAAGGAAGAGCUAAGAGCACAUAGCAUUUCCCAGGCUUAUUAGACUGUGGGAUCAACCUCUUUAAGAAAGCAUUUUGCAGAAUUGUUGUUCACAGGUCAUUCUGCAGUGUGAAGUUUUUUUUGCAAUAAGAUCCUUACUCUAGAGUUAACUUCACUAGGAAGUACACUCUGGGUGUUUACCUUUAGAGCUUCAGUUUCUACAAGAAUUUGGCACCGGUUGGGUCUUGUAGAAAUAUUUACUGCAUGGAGUUGAAAGAAGAGUCUGGACUGGGAGAAGGAUGUAUGGAUAAAGAACAAGACCCAGAAUCCGUAGCCAGCAUGAUGAGUUCAGAGACCUGGCCCCUACCCUGGGAGUAGCACAUUCAGUCAGAGAGGUUUAGGUGGAUUCAUCCAAAUACUUUAAUCCCAGAGCUCUGUCCUACAAAAACCAACAGGCUUGCUCAACUGUAGCAGUCAACAAGAAUUCAUGGUGCUUGGUUGGACUGCAUACAUAUUAUCUUUUUCCUUUAGAAAGCUGUGAAUUCCUUGGCUGUUUUAUUUUUGAAAUAAAUGUGUCAAUUCCAUUUUUCUGCCAUUUCUGCUACUUCUUUUCUCUAUAGAAACCUGGAUUUGUUACUGAGCUUUAGGUAUAAAACAGGUUUAUUAAGCUUAAUUGUUUUACUAUUACCAUAGUAACCAUUGUAUUUCCGUCACAGUAACUCUGAACUGUAAGCCAGUAAGCCAUUGGUCCUGAUGGUAAAGAUAGAAACCCACCUCCCUGCACCUCAGAUUCUACACCUCAGAGAAUUUCCAGGCUCUAAUUCCUUCAAUUAUGCCCCUUCUUUCUAGCAUUUUAAGUGCCCCUCUCUGAUUUUUUUUCAAACUCACACCAUGGUGGUCUUGAUUCAACAAUGAAGUCACAGUAGGCAUUGCAGUGGUUAUUUUAUGAAUCCACACAAUUUACAGAUUGCUCCUGAUAAAGCUCUAAAGAGUUUUCACAAUGUGUUUAUUCUGAAAACUACUCUCUACAUAGCCCAGUAUUUUUCCAAUACAAAUAAAUUUUAACCAACAUUACAACAACAAAAAAUUUUGAUGUGCAUUGAAAUAGCUAGUCAAAUUGGCCUCACAGUAGCAAUAAAAUAAUCUGAGAUAAUAGUUUUGUUUGAUUUUUUAUUUCAUGCAUAAUUUAUUUACGAGUAAGCAACAUAUAUUUUACAUUGUUCCUCAUGUCAUUGUAUGUUUUAAUACUGUGAAGUUUACUCUGAACUCUUUGGAUCCCAAUCUUAAAUCUAAUCAAAUCAAAAUAAAUAUAUAGAACAGCUCAAUAUAUGACACAUAGUAGGCACUUAAUAAAUAGUACCUAUUUUAUUAACAUGAUUAUUUCCUUUUUAAUAUUAUUAUGUGAAUAUAUUCUAGAUAGAAACUUUUAGAAUCUUAUUACCAAUUAUAUGUGUUAAGUCAAGUUUAGCCUAAAGAUGCCUCCUUCCAUAUUUUAAGUUCAACCUAAAAGUUUCUCUGUACAUUGUGAACUAUAACCUACACAGAGGUGUAAACAGACUGUAGUCUACUCUUGUGCCAAUCAAUCACUGAGCUUUGGUUCAUCAAAGGUGGUCAAUGUUCAAAUCAUGUUCAAAUAAGGCAAAUGCCGAGCUGUAAACAAUAUGGCUGUUUCUGUACCUCACAUCCACUUUCUGUAUCACUUUCCUUUUUCUGUCCAUAAAUCUUCUUCCCCCA
rnacentral:lncRNA from 1 species